AGAGAGGUUCMGUAACAWUCUKUCCGUWGGUAAACCKGSGAAGGAUCAUKGUCGUGACCCUGACCAAAAUAGACCGUGCACGCGUCAUCCAGCCUGCCGGCGGCGGCACCGUUCGUCGCUCGGCCAAGUCCUCGACAACCUCCUCUCCUCGGAGUGGGGGCUCGGGGUAAAAGAACCCACGACGCCUAAGGCGUCAAGGAACACUGUGCCUAGCYCGGGGACGCGGACGGCUUGCUGGCCGCCCCCCGUGCUGCAAUGCUWUUUAAUCCACACGACUCUCGGCAACGGAUAUCUCGGCUCUCGCAUCGAUGAAGAACGUAGCGAAAUGCGAUACCUGGUGUGAAUUGCAGAAUCCCGCGAACCAUCGAGUCUUUGAACGCAAGUUGCGCCCGAGGCCAUUCGGCUGAGGGCACGCCUGCCUGGGCGUCACGCAAAACACGCUCCCACACCCUCAUCGGGUAGCGGGACGCGGCAUGUGGUCCCCCGUAGCGCAAGCUGCGGUGGGCCGAAGAUAUGGCUGCCGGCGUAUCGUGCCGGACACAGCGCGUGGUGGGCGACCUCGCUUUACUUACCGCAGUGCAUCCGGGGCGUAGCCRACGUGAUGGCCUCUAAGGACCCUUUGAACGGUGCGCACGACGCUCCGACCGCGACCCCAGGUCAGGCGGGACUACCCGCUGAAUUUAAGCAUAUCAAUAAGCGGA
rnacentral:rRNA from 1 species